rnacentral:rRNA from 1 species
CGGCGGACGGGUGAGUAACGCGUGGGUAACCUGCCUCGUACAGGGGGAUAACAGUUGGAAACGGCUGCUAAUACCGCAUAAGCGCACAGUACUGCAUGGUACGGUGUGAAAAACUCCGGUGGUAUGAGAUGGACCCGCGUCUGAUUAGGUAGUUGGUGGGGUAACGGCCUACCAAGCCGACGAUCAGUAGCCGACCUGAGAGGGUGACCGGCCACAUUGGGACUGAGACACGGCCCAA